rnacentral:rRNA from 1 species
UACGUAGGGGGCAAGCGUUGUCCGGAAUCAUUGGGCGUAAAGAGCGUGUAGGCGGCUCGAUAAGUCUGCUGUGAAAGUCAGGGGCUCAACCCUUGAAAGCCGGCCGAUACUGUCGGACUAGAGUCCGGAAGAGGCAAGUGGAAUUCCCGGUGUAGCGGUGAAAUGCGCAGAUAUCGGGAGGAACACCAAUGGCGAAGGCAGCUUGCUGGGACGGUACUGACGCUGAGGCGCGAAAGCGUGGGGAGCAAACAGG